rnacentral:misc_RNA from 1 species
GAGAGAGAGAGAGAGAGAAGUAUUUGUUGAAAAGAAGGUCUUAAGCAAAAAUUACCAGAAUUUAAGGGGAGGAAAAAGAAAAAAAAAAAACAACCCUGUAUUGGUCUCAUCAAUAUGAGAUCUUGGGAAGGAAGCAAGGCUGUUGUGCAGUUAUAAUCUAAAGUUAGUCUUGCAAUUUAGUCUUGCCCUUUAGUGUUCAAAUCUAUUACCUCUUGAUUAUGAACUCAGGACUUCUACUAUUGCACAAGACAAUCAUAUUUAUCUGAUAUUAGCGAAGGAAUUUAAUUCAUAGCAUUCAUUUUCCAGGCAUGAAAUAUUAGCUAUUAUUGCCAGACUUAGAUGAGAUGUUAGUUAUUAUUGCCAGACUUAGAUGGAUGAGAACUUUCUACCUUCUCUGCUUUAAAGGACAUCAGAAAGGAUUGUUGUCAAAUUAUGUAUUGAAGUCUGAAGGUUUCCUUGCUGAUGUUUCAUAGUGGCAAAAGUAUACUUACUAUUUUUUCUAAAGAUUUUGGUAUUAGUAUUUAAUCUUCCAUCCAACGUUAAAUAUUAGAACUUUCUGAUAUGUUUAUCUAAAGGUUUGGUUCUGUACAGGGUACCUCUGGCUGAAAGCAUCAAUUCCGAAGAAUUUAAUAAGUUGUAUCAUGGUUUUCAAAGAGGUUUUUCUUUGUUUUCAUAGUAUUGAGGAUCAUUAAUGUGAGAUUAUUUUGGUGUUUCAAAUAACAAGU